AUUGAACGCUGGCGGCAUGCCUUACACAUGCAAGUCGAACGGUAACGCGGGGCAACCUGGCGACGAGUGGCGAACGGGUGAGUAAUACAUCGGAACGUGCCCAGUAGUGGGGGAUAGCCCGGCGAAAGCCGGAUUAAUACCGCAUACGACCUACGGGUGAAAGCAGGGGAUCGCAAGACCUUGCGCUAUUGGAGCGGCCGAUGGCAGAUUAGGUAGUUGGUGGGGUAAAGGCCUACCAAGCCGACGAUCUGUAGCUGGUCUGAGAGGACGACCGGCCACACUGGGACUGAGACACGGCCCAGACUCCUACGGGAGGCAGCAGUGGGGAAUUUUGGACAAUGGGCGCAAGCCUGAUCCAGCCAUGCCGCGUGCGGGAAGAAGGCCUUCGGGUUGUAAACCGCUUUUGUCAGGGAAGAAACGGUCUGGGUUAAUACCCUGGGCUAAUGACGGUACCUGAAGAAUAAGCACCGGCUAACUACGUGCCAGCCGCCGCGGUAAAAC
rnacentral:rRNA from 1 species